CGUAAUGUUAUCAAGGAAAAGAGCACUCAAAUUCCUGACGAGUCUCAUAUCUGCAAGUGUAUGAACAAAUUGCUUUGAUCAUGCUUAAUGCAAUUGUAUCAAUUGGGAGGAUUUUAUUGUUCAUAUUAGAUUGGGGCGUAACGCUAUAUUCCCACUCAUUUGCAACAAAUUGCUUUUAUUAUUGAAUACAAUUAUGUUUCGUUUAAAAUAAAUAAAUAAAUAAAGGCUUCACUUGUUUUAUGUGAUAUAUUAGAGCAAAAAUAUAUAAUAUUUGUUUUAUGGAAUUGGAACACAUGAAAUAAUUGAAAACUGAAACAUAAAGGAGAAAAACCAGCAACCAAUGCUAUGAAAUAAUUGUUCUAUUUGUAUAGUACCGCAUGAAUCAAACUUUGGUUUAAAUGGCAUACCUCUUGAGGCCACAACUUUACUAAUUUGAUUUCCUCCUAGGCUUAGUACCUCUAAGUUGCCCAAAGCAUCCAAUUCUUCCAUAUUUAUUAAUCCUUCUAAGAGAUUGUAUUCCAUAUUCAAAAACUUGAGAGAUGAAAGUCUCCUGAGAGAUGAUAGACUAUUGUUAUCCAGGCGAUUAUAGCUCAAAUCAAGAUAUUCCAAAUUGCUCAGCUUCUGUAACUCUUUACCACCACCUUGGAACAAUUUAAGGGAUUCAAUUUCAUUGCCCGCUAAAUUCAAGAACUUCAAGCUUGUUCCAUUACUUAAUUCUGCCCAAGGGAAAUAUAAUUCACUGGGAAUGCAUGAACAUCCUUUGUUUGAGAUAACAGUUAAAGAAAAUGAACAGAAACAGAAAUUGAAACUCACUUUGAAUAUCGAUUAGUCCUUUCAAUCCACGUUGAUACAGAAAUAAUUUUUUUAAAUAUGGAAGAUCAACAAAGGAUGAUAGGAAACCAUUGCCGACGUUGUCAAAACUUAUAUCAAGAAAUUCCAAAUUUCCAAG
rnacentral:misc_RNA from 1 species